rnacentral:lncRNA from 1 species
CCAAGCUAGACGAGUUCGAAAAUCCACAUAGUUAUACAACUUUACAAAGUGAUAAGGAAGUGAAAGCCAAGGUGACAGAGGAAGUAUGGUGAAAACAGAGGAAACAGAGCCAUGGCACAAACCAAAAAAUGGGAGUGUCUUCCCUGCAAAUAAACGUUCGGUGAAGAAGAUGAUGUGGGAUAAGAUUGUUGAUCCUAAGGGUUCCAGUUCAAACACGGUUUCACCACCACCUCCUCCAUCCUCCCCAACUAACUCUACAUGCUGAAUAUUCAUGGAGAUGCAUGCAUGCUAUGCAUGAUUGUGUUGUGUACUAUUUUCUUAUAGUUUUCUUUUUUCUUUAAUUGUUGUUCAUUAUGUAGUCGAGCUUACUUUUGCAGUGAUGUUUUACUUGAGUGAAAAAUUUCCCAUUUUUCAUGAUGGGGUUUGUAUUUGUAUCAUCCACUUAUAUUACCAGCUAACCUAAUGAAUAAAUGUUUCAUCUUAAUUUUUCACAAGUUUUUUCAAUUUCAAUGGGAUGAUGAAAAUUAUGUGAUUAUUCAAAAUCAAUAUCUAUGCUAUUUCAUUUCCAGAAUGAAAUAUAUACAUUCAGGUAUUACUUACCUAUGAUUGAUUGCUGAAAACAUGGUGGCAUUUAGGUACUUCCCAGGUACUUACCUAUGUUUGAUUGCUGAAACCUUAAUCUUGGUUUCCCCCUUUUUAAGGUAGCUUGGUUUAGAAAUUUGUGCACAAAAAUAGUAGUGCUGCCACUAACCAGUUAAUUGUAUUUCCACAUUUGCCCCAGAAAGUGUCAAUAUAUAAUAAUUACUUAGGGAAAUUAUUACAAGCUAGCUGCCAUAUUGCUUUGUAAAAGCCUUGCCGUAUAAUAGUUAAUUCAUUACAACGAUCAUUUAAUAAUGAUAACAUGUUUUUUGAGGAACAUUUUCUUCGAUAUUUAACUUGAAAAAAAGAUUCUAAAAUAUACUUAUUGAGAAAAAAGUUCCUCGAAAAACCUUAAUUUUAGCAAGAAACAAUGAUUCUUCUAAAUUUUUUGGUCGGAAUCCUCGAGCUUUCUUGUAGUGUAUAUGAUUGUGGUUAUUCUGGUCAUUUAGGAGUUUAGGGCAUUUAAUAACAUCAGUUAAAGAUAAAAGUGGCUAAUCAUGACUUGAAGUUUUGAAACCCCACCCGAGUCAUUGCUUAUACAAUCAAUUUGUCUUUAAACUAUCACAUUUUCAUCAAUUUAAUCCCUAAACUAAUAAAAUCAACAAAAAAUGUUUUUUCUUAAGAACAAAAAAGGUUCUUAAAUUAUAGAAAUGGCAUCAACGGAGGUAGUUCGUUCAAUAGUUGCUUGACUCUAGCUCACACGACACUUGUAAGUCAAUGAUCUCAAAUUUGAUAUUUUGUUACGAAAACAUAAAACUAAUUAAGUAUGUAAAAAAUAGUAACAAAAUAUCAAGUUAAUGUAUGUAUAAAUCUAACUCUCUUUUGUGUGUGAGGACUCAAAUUGAAGUAUUUAACCCCAAGCACCUUCCAAGAAAUAUAUCAUGUGUGAAGUAAAGUGGUCGUUUGUAAUUUGUAUUGUAAUACCUUCCACACUAUCCACAGUACAAAAUAUACUCAAUGUAUUUUUGUGGUUAUACUUUUAUCGUUACUCUCAGACCUGAUCACCUAAAUUGGAACCCAUGAAUGAAACUUCAUUUCUGACGCAUAUCAAGGUUAUGUAAUGAAAAAAAUAGAAUUUUACCUGUUUAAUUACUGAAUAAAUGAAGAGUUUGACUAAAUCCUUCUUUUUAGAAUUUGGCACUUGCAAGCAAACGUGCUUGUUGAAACAUUAUCUGCCAAAAUAGGACAGAAAUAAUAUGCUUUGCUAAACGGUCAAAAAGUCCAAUGAGGUAUCUGGCGUUUUCCUCCCCAAUUCUGAUCCACGGUAAAAUAAGAAUAAUAAAUUAAUAUAGUACCACCACACUGAGACGUGAGAAGAAGAACGGAAUUAAGCAUCGUCACGUCACGUCACAUGCAUUGCUCGUUGAAAAGGCAAACCGAAGUAGUAUAUAUAAGGAAUGGUCAAGAAUCAAGAUAGAAAUAACGACAAGUACAAAGAGUAUGGAAAAACACAAUCUUACACACCAAACCUAACUACUAUUAUAAGUUUAUAACUAAACUAGCCACCAAUGCUCUUAUCAUAUAGAGUAGUAGGGACAUGGACCCUCUUGUUAUUUCCAAUUCACACUAAAAUGUCUUUCUUUACCCCCACGUGCAACACACCAUAGAACAGCGAACCACUGAAUACCACAGUUAAUGUUCCAUACUCAAAGCCAAACAAACAUCACACUAACAGAUACAAAAAAAAAUCUUUUGUUGACAAUCCAUCACAAAAGACUCCCUCAUAUAUAACAUAUAUAUUAAUGCGUACACGACCAUAGGAAAACGAUAGUAGCAAAACGACAACUGUGAUCUUACAAAAUAUAUAUUAGAACUUGGAAAGUAUUCAUUACGUAUCAUCUGAUAAAAUACCCAAGGCAACAAAAAUUGUUAUAUUUCGUAGAAGGAGCUCAAACUUAAAAUUGAUAUGAUUAUUUAAUAGGUAAGGCUAUGAAAUGCAAUGUCAUCACCCCCAAGAUAAUCUAAAUUGAAACUGCAUACAUAGGGGCAUAUAAGGAAGUGGGUGAAUAAAAAAUUAACCAUCUGUUUUUUAGAGAACAAUUAACCAUCUUUGUUGUGCCUGUGUUGCUACAAAAUAUUUGGUCUGUUGCACUGAAAAAAUGAUUCUAAUAGUUUUCAGUUUGCACUGCUAGCAUAAGGAGAGAUCGAUAGCGUCACAUAUUUUAUUGACGGAAAAUUAAAUUUCGUUUCUAGUUUCCUCGUUGCAAUUAGGGGUGUUCGUUGUGCGGUUUGAUUCGAUUUUAAAGUUAAAAAUCAUUCGAACCACAAGAUAAAAAUGCAUGCGGUUUGGUUUGGUUCAGUUGACUUUUAAAAUAAAAAUCAAACCAAAUCAAUAUGGUUUGGGUUGGUUUGGUUGUUGCGGUUUUCUUGUAAGACAUUACAAUUUUUUAGUUUUCAACGUUAAAAUCAAGAUUAAAGUUAAUAACAACUUAUUUUCAACAAUGUUUCAAUUUUGAACUAACAUUACAAUUUUGUUUUCAUCCUCCCAUCAACAUAUGUCAAAUUAAAAUAAUGGACAAAAAACAAUUCUCUUUGGUAAAAAAUGUAAAAGUUUAAGAUUUUAUCAUUCUCUAAAACUUCACAUUGAGUUUCUAUUCAAGAUAUAUCUAACAUAAACAUGUAUGCAAAAGUGGAAGUAUAAUUGAAUUAAAGCACAUUAAUACAAUUUUAAAUCAAAAGCAUAGAAAAAACUUAGCAAGAGGAACAAUAUGUCUUAGUAAAAAAAAAAAUGUCAUUCUAUAAAAUUUCUCUUUGAAUUUCCAAGAGUACUAGGUUUGUGACUUAAGUUUUAUUAGUGUUUUUCUUAUGUUACAGUUUGGUUUGGUUGCUAAAAUGAAAAUCGCAAACUGAAAUGAACCAUGCGGUUGAGUAAAAAUAUGAUUCGAAUGCAUCCGAGCCAAAUGUGGUUUUUGCGGUUUUCGAUUUGGGUUGGUUCGGUUUGCGGUUUUUCUAUUGGGUUGGUUUGAUUUUGAUCACCCCUAGUUGCAACAUCCUUACUGACAGACAUUUUAUAAUUGCUUAAAUUUUUUAACCUCUCAUUAUAUACGCAUAAUUUAUUUUUAUAUUCUAUAAACUUUUGAAAAAGUUCACAUAUUAGACUCAACUAUGAUUUUUAAGAUUGAAGUAGAGUCUCUUUCAAAAUCUAUUAGACCAUCCACCAUUUAUAUCCACGUUUCAGAUGUCCCGGUCUGGGCGUGAGCGGAUGUGUUAAAUUGUUCGAAUAAAAGAUGGUCAGACAAUAUGAUUUUAUGAGUGGGGGCAAUCUUUAAAAUGUUUUGGUCCAACUUGAAACCUUUAAAACAUAAAUGACCAAUUUGAAACUUUUAAACAUAAGGGACCAACUUGAAACCUAAAAUAGUCAAGCAUACACAAUGAGACCCUCAAUUUAGAGUUCUUAGACGGGUCCCACGUGUAAACAUCAUUCUUUUAUAAUUUUUUAAUAAUAGUACCUAAUAAGCAUUCAACCACUCCAAUGAAGACCCUCUGACGUCGAAAGGUCUAAAUCGGUCCCACCACCAACUCUUCAGCAUUUACAUUCCAACAAAACAAUGAUUAUUUUAAUAAAAAGUAGUGUGAGGUCCACUUAAGAAUAAUGAUCUUAAGUGAGAUCCUCGAUCUUAGAAGACCUCCAAAAAACAUUUCCCCAAUUGAGGUAUCUAUUAGGUAUUGAAUCUUAAAUGGUGAAAAUCUCACCAUUGAAGAUGGUUUAAGGGAUCAACACAUUCAAUUAAGCCUUAAAAUUACGAGUCCCAAUGUUUUUGAAUUGUUGUGGGAGAAUAAUUAGAUGAUUGAUAUGCUAUAACUUUCAAAACAAAAACAAAAAUUCAUGUGCAUGGACGUGAGAGUGAGUGUGUCAAGCAAUAUGGAAACCAUGUAGGUAGAAGGGGUGGACAGAUUCGCUCUUUGUCGAACAUGUAAUCAUUUAAAGAAAAAAAUUCACGGACACUCAUAUAUCUAAUUGACACCUUAAGAGGGAAAGAAAUAUAAAUUGUAAUGUAAUAGAUAUAAUAUAUUGAUGAUGUGAUGGGAAAAGAAAGAUGGAAAGAAUAUGAGGUGACAAAGGUGUUGAAUAGACGUGGUAACAAUAUCGAUACACGCGAUAUCUGCUCAAACUCACCUCAACUCGACAGUUUUCCUCGGUUUGACUGAGUUUGUGUAUAACUUCACCAAUUUUAAAUAGGGAUACGGUGUGUGUAAGGGAGAUAUAGUUACUCACCCCACACCCGUCUCGAAUGUAAAAAAUUAUAUAUGCGCAACAUGCAAGACUCUAAAUGUCAUCUAUAUUUCCGGAGUAUUUUCAAACUUUUAAUUAGCUAGUGUGAACAUAUCAUAGGUUUGCAAUUGACAAAUACUAAAGAUGUUUGGGUGUUUCCCUACCCCAAAUGGAUUAAAUUAAUAGAAAAAUUGUGGAAAUCAAUUUAUGAAGGUAGGUUUGGGUAUUGGGAAAAUUUUGAGUUCAGGGUGGGUUCGAGUUUGGGUCAAAUCGAUCCCUCCAUUAACAUAUGACAUUUUUCUGACGUGUGGUUAAGGUUGUGGUUGGAUAAAUUAAAAUAGUUGAAUGGAAUUAUACAUGUUUACCAGUUAAUAAAAUGAACAGUCUCCUAAAAUCUUUUUUCUUACAAUUUGGCAUGUGUUUGUAAUGAACAUUAUUUUUGUUACAUUGCGUUAUUGAUUCAACAUGAUGAAACAUAAUCAGUUAAAAGUUGACAGAAAUAUAUGGCCAAAAAAACGGUCAAAAAGUCCAAUUAGAAAAGUUGAAUAAAAGUGUCAAGGAAACAAAUGAAGCCAAAAUACUACAGGGUACGUAUAGAUCCUUCUUCAAUCCUUGGCUUGGCAUAUUAAUUUGAGAUCACUUCAGUAGUUUUGGUUGGUGGAAAUUCUAAAUGGGAAACAAAGGCCAACAAUAUUUGUACCUACUUUAAGGUAAAAGCAUCGAUCCAAACCCAAUUAGAAAUCAUAGGAGUAAAAGUAAUACUCCUAACGUGGGAACUUUUUUCUUUCUUUCUUUCUUUUUACGUGGGAAUCUUACGUAAACUUUUCGGUAAUCGUUUUAUAGACAUCAAGGACAUACAUAAUCCAUGCAUACUUCACUUUGUUAAGCGUCCAUGUGUAACAUCGACUAUGGUACAUUGCCUCACAAUUUUGAAGGUCCAAAUUCCUUCAAAUAGAAAUAUUUAAGGGUCUAAAUUUAGGUCAAAUUUGAUAGUCUUAACUUAAUUGCAGCAAUAAAUUUCAAAUUUUGAGGGCUUCAAAGUGUUUUAAGAGUCUAAAUUUCUUCAUAUACUAAUUUUUAGGGAUCCAAAUUUUUUAGGGCUUAAAAUUAAAAUAAGACCUCCAAAAUGUUUAAGACAUCUUUGCUAGUAAAUACCACCUAAAACUACUCUUCUAACCCAAUGAUUGGCUCAUUGCAAGAAUCUUAAUCACCAAGUCUGGAUUUAGUCGGCCCUAAUUUUCUAGUGAGAGAAACUCCAACUUCUCUCUAAACUUUCUUUCUCCUUCGUUCAUCGAGGAGGGGUGAUUUUAGGUCAUUUUUUGACCUAGAAUCACUCUUCUACAUCUUUUUCCCCUUUUCUUUCAAUCUAAAUAAGUGGUUUUCACUUCUUUCAAGUUUUUCUUUUUGUAUUUUUUGUGAUUUCGUCGUCUAAGUGCGGCGUUGUGUUGUUCGUCGUCUUGUGCGGCGUUUUGAUUUCGCGUCUUGUCGCGGUGUUUGUUCAGUUCCUAUUGAAAGAUCUACAUCAGUCAAUACAAAUUCAGCCAAUGAUUUGGACGUCAACAUUGCAGAUCCGGAAGCAUAGGUAUUUCGGUGACUUAGGUUUUAUCAUAUUAUUUGUAGGCAUUUUGCCGUUAUAUGUUAUUAACUUGGGUGUUGUGAGUUUGUUCGCAAAUUCACUCUUUAUGUUUUUAGCGAUGUUUGUAUCUGAUAUACUCUAUCGAUUUGAAUGAAUGAAUAUCGUUUUGUUUUUGUAAAAAAAAAAAAAAAUCUGGAUUUUGAUUGAAACGUAUUAUUUCAGUAAUUUUAAAAGCAAAAUUUAUUUUAAGACCUCUUAUAUAUAGACACAAUUAAUUUUUCUACACUCAUAACUCAUUCAAUACUUGGUUUAUUCUCUUCCCCUUAGAUCAAAUUUUUUUAUUCAUUCUGUUUUUAAAUGAGUGUCGUUUUAGCAAAAAAAUAUUUCAAAAUGAAUGUCACUUUUGAUUUCCAAUGCAAUAAUAACUUUUUCUUUUCAAUUGUACCUUUCAAUUAAUACUAUAUACACUACUUCUAAAGUAUUAUUUUUUCUUUAUCGAAAAACAAAUUAAUAGUUGAUUAUAAUAAUUUGAUAAAAUAACAUCUUCCUUUCUUUUAAUUAAUGUAUUUCUUAAUAUGUAUGUAAAACAUUCAUUAUGAAACGGAGAAAAUAUUUUUUUAUCUAUCGCUGUAUUGGGUGGUUGCAUGUAUGCGUGUCGAUAAUUUGUUGGGUGGAUCCCUCCUCAAGCGAGGGCCAAACACUUAUCUAAGAAAAAAAAGUGUGUUUUUGGUGUAUUGCCACAUAGGAUGGUAUAUGUAUCAUCACUCUUUUAUGAAUGGGCUCUUGUGCUACGUGUGUAUUGGUAAAUGGGUUGGUAACCCAUGUGUGUGUUAAGUGAUAUAAAAGGGAAUCAUAAUCCCUAGUUGCAGUAUUGGUGCGUGAGAAAAAUUGUGGCGCACAGUAAGAUAAUUUUGAGAGAGAGCAACACGCCACAGAGGAAGAAGAUUUUGGAUACCGGUGAAAAAAGUAUAUUUGGCAAACUAUCUUUGUUUAGAUAAUUUUUCUAAGAAAAAAGUAUAUUUGGCAAACUAUCUUUGUUUAGAUAAUUUUUCUAAGUAGUUUUGUCUUCUCUUUCUCUUUGUGUCUGUUUUGGAUACUUUUUAGGGUUUGCUCACCGGUUGUUAUAAUCAUCAUAUUUGUUGAUAAUUCGAUGAUUGUCGCAGUUCUUAAAGAUUUAGAAAGACAUUGAUCGUAACCAUUAGGGUUGGGAAUAGGCCAGGCCGGCCUAGAGAGGCCUAUGGCCUGGCCUGUUUAAGUCUGGCCUGGCUUGACCUGUUUAUUAAAAAGGUUAGGCUUAGGCUUUUUAAAAAGCCUAUUUAAGUAAAUAGGUCAGGCUUAAACUAUCAAAAAAGCCUAUGAAGCCUAAUAGGCCGGCCUGUUUAUGCAUGUUAGGCUUCAUAGUGACUUUUUAAAUAGGCUUUAAAGCUUUAUAGUGAAAUAGGCUUUUAAGGCCUUAUAGUAGUGAUAGACAAGUCUUACACUGAAAUAGGUUUUGAUGCCUAUUAAACCUAUUUAAAAGUAGAUAAAAUGGAAUGUUUAGUGACUUUAAUAGUAAGUAGGCCUGUAAAUAGGCUUUCAGGCCAGGCCAGACUUUUAAAUAGGCCAGGUCAGGCCAAAAAAAUAAGCCUAUGAAAGGCCAUAGGCCAGGCUCAGGCCUGGAAAUUUUUUCGUAAGCCAGGCUCAGGCCUAUCAAAGCCUGGUCUGGCCUAGCCUAUUCCCAAUCCUAGUAACCAUUAUCGUGAUAGUGGAAGUUUUUGGCAAAACUAGGUCCAAUGGUUUUUAUUUUCUCAUAUUGAGAGGAGUUUUCCACGAUAAAUUCCCUGUGUUCUCAUUUAUGGCUUUUACUCAUUGUUGUUGUUGUUGGUUGUGCGGGAUUAAUUUGAUUGUUCAAGUUUCACAAAAAGAGAUAAUCCAAGCUUCCGCUUAUUCCGUAUUGCACACUCUGAUCCCAAGACAAAUUUCCUUAUUUUUAACUAUGUUAUUUAUGCACAUGAUUUGAUUGAUAUAUGAUGAUGGUCCAUUAAAAAUUUAGGUUUAAUUGCACUUUUGAUCCUCGUAUUUUAACCAACUCACAAAAUUGAUCCUGCCUUUUUCAAAUUAAACAAAGCAGUCCCUAUCUCUCAUGGUUUUUUCAAUUUUAGUCCUAACCCCUAUUUUUCCCUCCCAAAAUGUUGAUAUGACAAAGAAAUACCUAUGUGACAAUGCCAACGAAAAAAUGACAUUAACAUGUCAUUAAAACAACAUUUUUUUUAAUUUAAAAAACCAACUUAAACAUUUCAGAAAUUAAAACAAAAAAAAAAAUUGAAAGAAAAAAAAGGAAUAAAUAAAAUUGAAAGAAAGAUAAAAUCCCUAAUUCCAAAAUCUAGAGUGAAGCACUCAAAUCCUAUUCAAUUCCUUCCAUCUUUUCCUUCUUCCAUCCUCGUUCCUUCAUUUCUUUCUCAUGCAUCGAAGAAAUUGAAAAGGCUUCAACAAUAAAUGUUCAUAUAUUCUUUUGUUUCAACUAAAGCCACGAGCACAUAAUCUAUUGAAAGUUCAUGGGAUUCAUCUUUUAAAUUUUAGGUUUUUCAUAUUUGAAGUUAAAUGUUUGGGUUCAUAUGGGUCAAAAUCUUCUUCUAAGUUCUCUGAAAAAUGAAUGAGCAUGGAGCUCGAUUGAUGGGUGCCUGAAGCUUGCCCAUUCGAUGGGUAAAGCCGAUACAGAAAGAAGGAAUAAAUGAGGUAGAAAUAGUAAAUAAGGUUCUCGAAAGUGAAGGAUUAGAGGGAAUGUAUCAAUGGUUGAAGUUUUUUUUUUGUUUCUCAUUUCUUCCUAUUUCAGAUUUGGAUUUGUUUUCUUUUGUGAAAUAGGGAUUCAGUUUUGUUUUUUUAUAAAUCCAUAACUUUGUUGUUGUUGAAAUAGGGAUUCAAUAAUAUGCUAUUGCAAUUUCCAAUAUUUCUCUUCUUUGUUUCCACUUUAGCCAUGCUGACUUGCUGUUGAUGAUGAGGAAGAUGAAGUUUCUUUAGGUUUUUUUUUUUCAAACCCAUAUCAAUGUAGAACAGAUUAUGGAAAUUAUUGCUAUUUUAAUAUUGUAAUUUAAGUUUUAUUUAUUUUUUAGUUAAAUUGUAAUUUUAAAUAAUUAUUUAUUUUUCCAAACCAAAAGAGAUGAUUUUGAUGACAUGUUAAUGACAUUUUGCAAGUUAGCAUUGCCACAUAGGUGUUCUUUUGGCCACAUCAGUUAAAAAUUCAACACAUCAACGUUUUUUGAGGGAAAAAUAGGGGUUAGGACAAAAAUUGCAAAAAAAAUAUGAUAGUUUAGAGACUGCUUUGUUCGAUUUAAAAAAUGUAUGAUCAAUUUCGUGAAUUGGUCAAAAUGCGUGUAGCAAAAGAGAAAUUAUGCCAAAAAUUUAAAACUCCGUAAUCCAUGACCACAUGCUUUGCUACGCAAGGCCUCAAAUCAAAAGCACCUAAAACAAAACUACAAAAGUCCUAAGCCGGGACCCACCGAAAAUGGGUUGCGGGGUGAGAUAUACUAGGUGGUCUAGAAGCUGAUUCAAAGCAUGCAUGCAUGCAUGGAUGGAAUGGACUGGAAAGAGAGUUGGAGGGUAAAAGGCAAACAUAUUCAUUCGUGUACAUGUGUGGUCUUCACAAUCAACUAAUCACUUGAAGUGCAUAACCCAUCAGAAUUGACUGCAGUAAAUUUGUUUAUGCAUAUAACACAAUUGGUAUAUUUUUGGUGGUUGGAUCAACAUCAAAAUACCCAAAUUUUAUUUCAAUGUUUUUUGUUUUAAAUAUCAAAUUUUAAUUAAUGCCAAACCUUUUUAUGUAAGUUGUUACUUUUCAUCAUGUAAUAAUUACAUUAUAUUUUAUAAAAAAUAUAUUUGUUUUGGUUGUUUAACCAAUGUUUGAUAGACACGAUAUAACAUUCUAUUUUUAUUUGGAAGAACCACUAGCUAGACCUUUAAUAAUACCAAUUUUAUUUUUUCUCAAUAAGACUAAUAGUACCAAUUUUAUUUUAUUUUUGACUAGAGAUAUUGCCAAUCUUAAUCAACAAGUUGUUGUUCUAGACGGAGACCCUUAUAAAACCCCCCACACCCAUUUCGUUUCGCUUCCAUGCUACAAGAAUUCGAAAAUCCACAUAGAAAUACAACUUUACACAGUGACAGGGAAGUGAACGUUAAGGCGACAAAGGAAAUAUGGAGAAAACAGUGGAAACAGAGGCAUGGCACAAACCAAAGAAUGGAAGUGUAUUCCCUCCAAAGAAACGUUCUGUGAAGAAGAUGAUAUGGGAUCAGAUUGUUAAUUACAAGGGUAAUUCCAGUUCAAACACGGUUUCACCGCCACCUCCUCCAUCCUCAAAGUCCAAAACAUGCCCCAACUAGCUCUACAUGCUGAAUAUUCAUGGAAAUGCAUGCAUGCAUGCAUGCAAGCUAUGCAUGAUUGUGUUGUGUAUUUUCUUAUAAGUUUGCAUUUUAUGUAUUUUUACAUUUUUUCUUUCUUGUUGUUCAUCAUGUAGUCGAGGUUGCUUUUGCAAUGUUGUUUUGCUAGUGUGAAAUUUUUUUCCAUUUUCCAUGGGGUUUGUGUUUGUAUCGUCCGCUUAUACUACCAGCAUACCUAAUGAAGAACUAUUUCAUCUUAUUUUUCAC